rnacentral:rRNA from 1 species
GACGAACGCUGGCGGCGUGCCUAAUACAUGCAAGUCGAGCGAACCCGGGGUGCUUGCACCCUGAGGGUUAGCGGCGGACGGGUGAGUAACACGCGGGGAACCUGCCUUGCUGUCUGGGAUAACACCGGGAAACCGGUGCUAAUACCGGAUGUCCCCUUCCCGGCACCGGCCGGAGAGGGAAAAGGCGGCUGUGAGCCGCCGCAGCAAGCGGGGCCCGCGGCGCAUGAGUUAGUUGGCAGGGUAACGGCCUCCCAAGGCGACGAGGCGUAGCCGACCUGAGAGGGUGAUCGGCCACACUGGGACUGAGACACGGCCCAGACUCCGACGGGAGGCAGCAGUAGGGAAUCAUCCGCAAUGGACGAAAGUCUGACGGUGCAACGCCGCGUGAGUGAUGAAGGUUUUCGGAUCGUAAAGCUCUGUUGUGAGGGAAGAAUAGGAUGGGGAGGAAAUGCCCGAUCUGUGACGGUACCUCACCAGAAAGCCCCGGCUAACUACGUGCCAGCCGCCGCAGUAA